GAUGAAGAACGUAGCGAAAUGCGAUACUUGGUGUGAAUUGCAGAAUCCCGUGAACCAUCGAGUCUUUGAACGCAAGUUGCGCCCGAAGCCAUUAGGCCGAGGGCACGCCUGCCUGGGCGUCACACGUCGUUGCCCCCCCAUCUACUCCUUCGGGAUUGCGGGGGGCGGAUGAUGGCCUCCCGUGCGCCUCGUCGCGCGGUUGGCAUAAAUGCCAAGUCCUCGGCGACGCACGCCACGACAAUCGGUGGUUGCGAAACCUCGGUUGCCCGUCGUGUGCGGUCGUCGCGCAUCGAGGGCUCGAAAAAAUUGUCGGGCUCCGGCUCGGCUUUCAAUGCGACCCCAGGUCAGGCGGGGUUACCCGCUGAAUUUAAGCAUAUCAAUAAGCGGAGGA
rnacentral:misc_RNA from 1 species